UUUAAAGAGAGAAAGGGUUCGACAAAUCAUGUUAGAAAGAUACCGAUGAUUUUCUGACGGACCACCGGCGACCUAUCUGAUGAAAUGGCAGGAACUGGUGGCGUGUGACAGAUUGCUGCCAUUAAUGAAGCCUGAGGAUGGAAGGACAUGACCACUGUGGAGGAAAUGGAUCUGGUAGUUCACAUAGGUCUCAAGGGAUGGAAAUUCCUAUAUCUUGGUGACCUUCAUAGACUAUAGGGAUUUUCUCCAGCAGCUUUAGGGAAAGUCUUUAGUUGAGGAUCAGCAUAAAACUGGGUCAUGGAGGUUGUUGAAGGAACUUUCAAUAGCAGGUGAUUUGUUCUGUACAUGUUUAAAAAAACUGUAGCUGAGACACAAUAGGAGAGUGCUGAAGAAAUUGAAACAACUGCAUGCUAUAGAUACCCCACUACGUCUAAAACGCAAGGUGGUUUUAAACUUACAAUGGCUGAGGGUGAAUAUACUGACUCUUGGAUCAUAGUAAUGCUUGGUGAUAAUGGCAUUGGGAAGACAACGUUUAUGCAUAUGCUGAUGAGACAAUAUUUGUAUCUAUACAUAUUAAUAAAG
rnacentral:lncRNA from 1 species